rnacentral:rRNA from 1 species
UGGGGAAUCUUGGACAAUGGGGGCAACCCUGAUCCAGCCAUGCCGCGUGAGUGAAGAAGGCCUUAGGGUUGUAAAACUCUUUCAUCGGUGAAGAUAAUGACGGUACCCGCAGAAGAAGCCCCGGCUAACUCCGUGCCAGCAGCCGCGGUAAUACGGAGGGGGCUAGCGUUGUUCGGAAUCACUGGGCGUAAAGCGCGCGUAGGCGGAUCGGUUAGUUGGGGGUGAAAUCCCGAGGCUCAACCUCGGAACUGCCCUCAAUACUGUCGAUCUCGAGUCCGGGAGAGGUGAGUGGAAUUCCUAGUGUAGAGGUGAAAUUCGUAGAUAUUAGGAAGAACACCAGUGGCGAAGGCGGCUCACUGGCCCGGUACUGACGCUGAGGUGCGAAAGCGUGGGGAGCAAACAGGAUUAGAUACCCCCGUAGUCC